rnacentral:rRNA from 1 species
GACGAACGCUGGCGGCGUGCUUAACACAUGCAAGUCGAACGGAAAGGCACUGAUUUUGUGGGGUGAUCGAGUGGCGAACGGGUGAGUAACACGUGAGUAACCUGCCCUUGACUUUGGGAUAACUUAAGGAAACUGGGGCUAAUACAGGAUCGGAGACCCUGCUGCAUGGUGGGGGUUGGAAAGUUUCGGCGGUUGGGGAUGGACGCGCGGCUUAUCAGCUUGUUGGUGGGGUAGUGGCUUACCAAGGAUUUGAAGGGUAGCCGGCCUGAGAGGGUGACCGGCCACAGUGGGACUGAGAUACGGCCCAGACUCAUACGGGAGGCAGCAGUGGGGAAUAGUGCACAAUGGGCGGAAGCCUGAUGCAGCAACGCCGCGUGCUGGAUGACGGCCUUCGGGUUGUAAACCGCUUUCGCCUGUGACGAAGCGUGAGGGACGUUAAUGGGGAAAGAAGCACCGGCGAACUACGU